rnacentral:rRNA from 1 species
AAUCCAUAGGUUAAUGAGGCGAACCGGGGGAACUGAAACAUCUAAGUACCCCGAGGAAAAGAAAUCAACCGAGAUUCCCCCAGUAGCGGCGAGCGAACGGGGAGGAGCCCAGAGCCUGAAUCAGCAUGUGUGUUAGUGGAAGCGUCUGGAAAGGCGCGCGAUACAGGGUGACAGCCCCGUACACAAAAGCGCAUGUGCUGUGAGCUCGAUGAGUAGGGCGGGACACGUGGUAUCCUGUCUGAAUAUGGGGGGACCAUCCUCCAAGGCUAAAUACUCCUGACUGACCGAUAGUGAACCAGUACCGUGAGGGAAAGGCGAAAAGAACCCCGGCGAGGGGAGUGAAAAAGAACCUGAAACCGUGUACGUACAAGCAGUGGGAGCACCCUUCGGGGUGUGACUGCGUACCUUUUGUAU